ACUCCUACGGGAGGCAGCAGUGGGGAAUAUUGCACAAUGGGCGCAAGCCUGAUGCAGCCAUGCCGCGUGUAUGAAGAAGGCCUUCGGGUUGUAAAGUACUUUCAGCAGUGAGGAAGGUGGGUAUGUUAAUAGCAUAUUCAUUUGACGUUAGCUGCAGAAGAAGCACCGGCUAACUCCGUGCCAGCAGCCGCGGUAAUACGGAGGGUGCGAGCGUUAAUCGGAAUUACUGGGCGUAAAGCGCAUGCAGGUGGUUUGUUAAGUCAGAUGUGAAAGCCCGGGGCUCAACCUCGGAAUUGCAUUUGAAACUGGCAAACUAGAGUACUGUAGAGGGGGGUAGAAUUUCAGGUGUAGCGGUGAAAUGCGUAGAGAUCUGAAGGAAUACCGGUGGCGAAGGCGGCCCCCUGGACAGAUACUGACACUCAGAUGCGAAAGCGUGGGAGCAAACAGGAUUAGAUACCCUGGUAGGCUCU
rnacentral:rRNA from 1 species